AUACGUAGGGGGCGAGCGUUAUCCGGAUUUAUUGGGCGUAAAGCGUGUGUAGGCGGUUUGUUAAGUUUAAGAUUAAAGCCCGAGGCUUAACCUCGGUUCGUCUUAAAAACUGGCAGACUUGAGUGCAGUAGAGGCAAGUGGAAUUUCUAGUGUAGCGGUUAAAUGCGUAGAUAUUAGAAGGAAAACCAGUGGCGAAGGGGGCUUGCUGGGCUGUUACUGCCCCUGAGUCGCGAAAGCGUGGGGAGCAAAGAGGAUUAGAUCCCCUAGUAGUCCACGCCGUAACCGAUGAGUACUAAGUGUCGGGUAACCGGUGCUGAAGUUAACACAUUAAGUACUCCGCCUGAGUAGUACGGUCGCAAGGCUGAAACUCAAAUGAAUUGACGGGG
rnacentral:rRNA from 1 species